rnacentral:rRNA from 1 species
GAGUAAUGCUUUGGAAUCUGCCCAUCAGUGGGGGACAACCCGGGGAAACUCGGGCUAAUACCGCAUACGUCCUACGGGAGAAAGCGGGGGAUCGCAAGACCUCGCGCUGAAGGAUGAGCCAAAGUCGGAUUAGCUUGUUGGUGAGGUAAAGGCUCACCAGGGAGACGAUCCGUAACUGGUCUGAGAGGACGACCAGUCACAC